GCAAGUCGAGCGCACUCUUCGGAGUGAGCGGCGGACGGGUUAGUAACGCGUGGGAACGUGCCCUUCUCUAAGGAAUAGCCACUGGAAACGGUGAGUAAUACCGUAUACGCCCUUCGGGGGAAAGAUUUAUCGGUGAGGGAUUGGCCCGCGUAAGAUUAGAUAGUUGGUGGGGUAAUGGCCUACCAAGCCUACGAUCUAUAGCUGGUUUGAGAGGAUGAUC
rnacentral:rRNA from 1 species